CACGUAGGCGGAGACGUAAGUCAGGAGUGAAAUCCCUCGGCUUAACCGAGGAAUGGCUCUUGAUACUGCGUUUCUCGAGUACGGGAGGGGAGAGUGGAAUUUCCGGUGGAGCGGUGAAAUGCGUAGAUAUCGGGAGGAACGCCGGUGGCGAAAGCGACUCUCUGGCCCCGUCACUGACGCUGAGGUGCGAAAGCUAGGGUAGCGAACG
rnacentral:rRNA from 1 species